rnacentral:lncRNA from 1 species
GCUUCCGCCCUGCGCGCUAACCCAAGACGGGAGCUCGAGAGCUUGAUCCUGCGCGAGUUUACAGACUGCCCUCUUCCCUUUUUGCGUAAGGACUAAUUCAAACUUUAUGCCGGGGGCGGUGGCUCACGCGUGUAGUCCCAGCUGCUCGGGAGGCCGAGGCGAGAGUAUCGUCUGAGCCUAGGAGUUCGAGGCUAACCACGGCAACGCCCCUACUCCUACCCCAGUCCCUCGCGGGUGGGGCGAGGGAUUUCAGGGGGCGGUGGGGGAAGACUUAACCGAGUUGCCGUCUUCUGUUUACCAGAUCGAAGACCACGACUCCCAAGAGGUAAUGCGUCGGCCCGGGACUACAUCUCCCGGCAUGCAUCGCCGGCGGGUCCGCGAGUUCUCACCAUCGCAGCUGGACUAUUAGCGGGGGCCCUAGCGCUCUUGUGGUUUGUUUCGGCAGUAUCUGAAUGUCAGCUUUUGGCACUUCUGGUCGCUCUGAGCCUCCUACUCGCAUUCCUGGAGCAAGGUGCUUUCCAGGCCUCAUGGAGGUGGAGGAGCUGAGGAAGCUCGAGAAGAUGGAUAGAAGUGGGAAAUGGAGCUAGCGUACGGGAGAGGGAAAUGGCUGGAAUAUUCGUCAAUCUGUGGUGCUUUACUGGAGAUUUGCAGGAGUUCAGAGGAAGGGGGCAUUGAAUUUCAUAACCUAAACCGUAUCGUGGUUUACCAGAAAGUUUUGACCCGUGAUUCCGGUUUUAAAGGCUGAGUAGGGCCGGGCGCGGUGGUUCACGCCAGUAAUCCCAGCAGUUUAGGAGGCCAAGGCAGGCGGAUCACCUGAGGUCAGGGGUUGGAGAUAAACCUGGCCAACGUGGUGAAACCUCGUCUUUAGUAAAAAAUACAAAAAUUAGCCAGGUUUUGUGGCACAUGCCUGUAAUCCUAGCUACUCGAAAGGCUGAGGCAUGAGAAUCGCUUGAACUCAGGAGGAGGUUGCAGCCAACCGAGAUCUCGCCGCUGUACUCCAGCCUGGGCGACAGAGCGAGACUGUGUCAAAACAACACCACAAGCUAGCUGAGUAGGGAUUCUUGGGCGAAGUGGAAGACAUUAUAAGCAAAUAGGGUAGUAUGGGCAUGGAAACGAACUACAUGAUUAAAGAUUAGUAUUAUCUGGCGAGGGAGGAAAAGUGCCAGAGCAAGUGCCGAAACUGGAAGGUUACAUUUAGUUCAGGAUAUGAAGAUCAUAUAAGGCCUGCACGGUGGCUCACACCUGUAAUCCCAGCACUUUGGGAAGCCAAGGUGGGGGAGGAUCGCUUGAGCUCAGGAGUUGGAGACCAGCCUGGGCAACAUAGUGGGACCCCAUAUCUCAAAAAAAAAAAAAAAAAAAAUAAGCUGGGCGUGGUGGCUUGUGCCUGUGGUCUCAGCUAUCCCGGAGGCUGAGGUGGGAGGACUGCUUGAGCUCAGGACGUCAAGGCUGCAGUGAGCUAUGAUGGGCCACUGCACUCCAGCCUGGGCUACAGAGUGAGACCUUGUCUCAAAAGACAAGCGACAACAACAAAACAUGUAAGGAGAGGCCAGGCGCGGUGGCUCAAGCCUGUAAUCCCAGAACUUUGGGAGGCCAAGGUGGGCGGAUCACGAGGUCAGGAGUUCAAGACCAGCCUGGCCAAGAUGGCAAAACCCCAUCUCUACUAAAACUACAAAAAUUAGCCGGGCGUGGUGGUGCAUGCCUGUAAUCCCAGCUCUUUGGGAGGCUGAGGCAGAGAAGUGCUUGAACCCGGGAGGUGGAGGUUGCAGUGAGCGAGAUCACGCCACUGCACUCCAGCCUGGGCAACAGAGCAAGACUCCGUCUCAAAAAAAAAAAAAAAGGUAAGGAGCUUUGGUCUCUAGGUACUGAAGAAAUCAUUGAAGUUUUUAAGAAGACAAGUCAUUUGGUUAGAUCUAUUUUCCCUCCACUUACCAAUUUAUUUUUAUUUUUAUUUAUUUAUUUAUUUAUUUAUUUUAGAUGGAGUCUUGCUCUGUUGCCCAGGCUGGAGUGCAGGGACGUGGUAUCAGCUCACUGCAACCCCACCUCCCAGAUUCAAGCGAGUCUUCCUGCCUCAGCCUCCCAAGUAACUGGGAUUACAGGCGCCUGCCACCACGCCCAGCUAAUUUUUUGUAUUUUUAGUAGAGACAGGGUUUCACCAUGUUGGCCAGGCUGGUCUCGAACUCCUGACCUCAGGUGAUCCACCUACCGUGGCCUCCCAAAGUGCUGGGAUUACAGGUGUGAACCACCGCACCCGGCCUUAUUUUUUUAUUUUUGAGACAGCAUCUCGCUCUGUUCAAGUUGGCCUUGAACUCCUGGCCUCAAGUGAUCCUCCCACCUUGGCCUCCCAAAGUGUUGGAAUUACAGGUGUGAACCAUUGCAAUGGCCUUAUUACUACUUUAUAUUUGUGGAGUGCUUUAAAGUUGACAAAGUUUUUAGUUAAUCCUCACACUAUUACCUUGUGGCGUUGAAGAACAGAUUUCAGGAGCGUGAAAGUGAAGACACCAAAAAGGAAGUUCUUGCAAUAUUUCAACAAAGAGAUGAAGAUUUGGAUUAGAUUCCAGUUCUACCUUUUUGGCACCAGGGAGCUGUUCUGUGAAAGACAAUUUUCCACAGGGCUCGGGGGGUGGGCAUGAGGCAGAGGAUGGUUUCGGAAUGAAACUGUUGCACCUCAAGAUCAUCAAUUAGAUUUCCAUAAGGAGUGUGCAAUCUAGAUUCCUCACAGGUGCAGUUCAAAAUAGGUUUUGAGUUCCUGUGAGAAUCUAAUGCUCUCCUUGAUCUGACAGGAGGCAGAGCUCAGGCAGUAAUGCUUGCUUGCUAGCUGCUCACCUGCUGUGCAGCCCAGUUCCUAAUAGGCGACAGGUCUGUGUUGGGGCGUUGGGGUCCUCUGAAUUAGAGGAAUGACAGAGAGAACAGACUCAGGCAGCUUUCUGGAUGUAGAAACAACCUAACUUAGUGAUUAUAGAUACUACCUGUGAUAAUAGUGAACUUUCUUCCAUAUCAAAGUUACACACCUUUGCCUCCGGUUCUUCCCACACCCUUAGAGCAUCUGCAAACCUACAGCCCUCCUCCUAGCUGACUGUAGUCACAUGACUUUUACCUUUCUGGCCACCAGUUGUACCAGCAGUGUUCAUCUGGCCCCAAAUUGGCCAAUCAUUUUCCUGCUCCUGGAAAAUUAGACUUGGCUUUAUAUUCAAGUCUGACCUCAGGAAUUUAUGGGGCAAAGUACACAGAUAGAUGUGUGUGAAUGUCCAAUCAGAGAAAGCACAUCUGCAGAAAGAUUAAGAAAUUGAUGUCGGGUGUGGUGGCUCAAGCCUGUAAUCCCAGCACUUUCGGAGGCUGAGGCAGGCGCAUCACCUGAGGUCAGGAGUUCGAGACCAGCCUGACCAACAUGGUGAAACCCCAUCUCUACUAAAAAUACAAACAUUAGCCUCCAGCUACGCAGGAGGCCAAGGCAGGAGAAUCGCAUGAAACUGGGAGGCAGAGGUUGCAGUGAGCUGAGAUCGUGCCACUGCACUCCAGCCUGGAUGACAGAGCAAGACUCUGUCUCAAAAAAAAAAAAAAAAAGAAAAAGAAAAAGAAAUUGAGAUACUAAGGAGAGAGUCAAAGAUAAAUAAACCAUUUGAAUUCUGACUCCUUUCCAGAUCGCCUUUCCAGUUUCUCAGAAGCCUAGCAGUACUUACUCCUCCUGCUCUUGGGUUCUUUUUUACUUUUUUUUUUUUUUUAAAAAAAAAACCUUGAACUCUUAAGGAUUAAUGCUCUUGAGUUAUGAGAUAUCCCUACAUUCCAAUAACUCUACCUUCUAUUUUUAUUGAUUAAACUAGUUUGAGUAGUUUCUGUUCCUUUCUUCCAAAACAACCCACUGAGAACUUGGAAAUAAGGCAAACUAGAUUUCCCUCUAAUAGUUAAAUUGGCAUUCUCUGAGAAUAUUUAUAAAUGUGUUAAUUGAAAAAUUUUGGAGUGUGGUGGCUCACACUUGUAAUCCUAGUGCAUUGAGAGGCUGAGGUGAGAGGACCAUUUGAGGCCAGGAGUUAGAGACUAGUCUGGGCAAUGUAGUGAGACCCCCCAACUCUACAAAAAAAAAUGUUGUUUUGUUUUUUUUGUGUUUUUGUUUUGAGAUAGAGUCUCGGUCUGUCGCCAGGCUGGAGUGCAGUGGUGAGAUCUGGGCUCACUGCAACCUCGGCCUCCCAGGUUCAAGCGAUACUCCUGCCUCAGCCUCCCGAGUAGCUGGGACUACAGGCACAUGCCACCACGCCCGGCUCAUUUUUUGUAUUUUUAGUAGAGAUGGAGUUUCACCAUGUUGGCCAGGAUGGUCUCGAACUCCAGACCUCAUGAUCCGCCUCGGCCUCCCAAAGUGCUGGGAUUACAGACGUGAGCCACCGCGCCUGGCCAAAAAAAACCUUUUUUUAAAAAUUAGCCAGGUGCGGUGAUGCACACUUGUAGUCCUAGCUGUCUGGGAAGCUGAGGAGGGGAGAUUGCUUGAGCCCAGGAGUUCAAGGUUACAGUGAGCUAUGAUUGCACCUUGCACCACUGCACUCCAGUCUGGGCGAAAGAGUGAAACUUUGUCUCAAAAAAAAAAAAAAAAAGUAUAAAUACAUAUAUAUAAAUGUAUAUAUAUAGAGAUACAUACACACACACAUACAUAUAUAUGUAUUCUUUAUAUAUAAGGUAAUGUGUAUCAAGUGAUCUAAUCUGCUCCUAAUUCACCUCCUCUAGUAUGCUUACAAAAUGAGAGUCCUGGAAUAGCAGACAUGCAUUGUAAAUAAAUGAACAUCUUUCUACAAGUAUAUUUCCCCAAGGUUCAACUGAAUAUAGUUUGCUAUAAUUUCUUAAAAUUCAAUCAAUUUCACAUCCAUUAAACUUACAAGUACCGUAAUCCAGUUUUCCUAGGAAAACUAAGCCCAGCCGAACCUUGGGAAAAAUACCUCUGUGUUAAACAUAUAUACAUGAUCGAUUUUAAAUGUUUUCACCACAAAAAAUGGUAAGUACGUGAGGUGAUGGAUUUGUUAACUCAGAAGCAGGCACACCAAAUCACAAUGGGUCUGAUUCGAUCCUCCCUGAUGGCAAUGGAGACCCAUCUAACUAAUCCCACUUCUAAUUACCUUUCUUUUUCUCCUUACAGACCUAAAAAAUCUCACCAUUUCUAUUAGCCUGAAAAUAACAUCCCUCUGUUCUUCUCUUCCUCCUUCAGCACUGAAUCUCGCUUACACUAGGUUUUACUUAAUGAUUCUCCUCCUUAUACUUUCUGUCUCACCAGUUUCCUCUCACACUUAUUUACCUGCUACACAAAAUUAUUCUUAUUGGGCUUAUGUGCCCUUUCCUCCACUUAUUCGACCUCUCACCUGGAUUGAUGCUCCUGCGGAAAUCUACAUUAACGAUAGUUUGUGGAUGCCUGGAGCUACAGAUGACCGUUGCCCUGCUCAACCAGGAGAAGAAGGCACUACAUUUAAUGUUAUCAUGGGUUAUAAAUAACACCCUCUGUGCCUCAGAAAUGCACCUGGUUAUAUCCAUCUAGAAACUCAAGUCUGGGCUGCUUAUCUUCCCGAGAGAUCAGCUACAGAGGAACCGGGACAUUUGGUCUCUGGCCUCUCCCUUUCUCCUUUAAAACAAAUGAAAGGGGGAGUAAUGGGACAUACCCCAUACUUUCAAUAAGUAGCCUCCAGGCAUUCCCUUCCACCAGAGGAGCAAUUGUUUUUUAAAUAGCCCUUUGGCGCCCAGUCUAUUACUAAACCAUAUGAGUCAUUUUUUAAUAUUACUGCAUGUGAGUUAACAUAGUCUUCCCAAAUUAAAGUUUUAGAUGGGCCCUCAAAAUUUUUAGGGCAUGGUUUUCCUGCAGGUUUAUAUGGAAAGUAUGGGGUCCCUGACUUCUCGCAACAGUGGCCUACACUGCCUUUCAGUUUACCUAGGCCUCCAAAGCACUUUAGCCUGUGGGGCUUGCCAGAACUCGGGUUCCAGCUCCUGGAAUGGACAGUUCCCCUCUGGCUAGGGUUGAUCUAAUGUUCCCUCUGGGUUACUGGCUGAGUUCUGCCCUGUGUGGCUUUCUGCUGUGCCAGGGCUGCACUGAGUUCAAAUGCAGAGUCUCACAAUCAUUGUAUUCUUCCUCCCCCAGGAGCACCCAUUCUCUCUUUACACCAAUUGGCCACUGCCAGGGGAUGAAGAGGGAUGAUGUUGACAAUUCAAGACUAUUUCUUACCCUCUUCAGUGCCUGUUUCCUUAAUAUGAUAAUAAACCAGGUACUGCGAUCACUCACCUGAUUAUUGGUUCUUAUGAAGGUGCUUUUUUAAUGUAGUUGUUCAGUUUGAUAUUUCUGUCGGAGGGAUGACUGCUGGAGGAUUCUAUUAAGCCAUCUUGCUCUGCCUUCUUGCAACACAUAAAAUUCAACAGUUUUGUGCAACUGUAAGUUCAAGUGUUUGUAAUUUUAUUUAUUUCAUUUUUUUCUUUGAGAUGAAGUCUCCCUCUUGUUACCCAGGCUGGAGUGCAGUGGCGCGAUCUUGGCUCACUGCAACCUCUACCUCCUGGGUUCAAGCAAUCCUCCUGCCUUAUCCUCCCAAGUAGCUGGGAUUACAGAUGCCUGCCACCAUGUCUUGCUAACUUUUGUACAUUUAGUAGACAUGAGGUUUUGCCAUGUUGUCCGGGCUGGUCUUGAACUCCUGACUUCAAGUGAUCCACCUGUCUUAGCCUCCCAAAGUACUGGGAUUACAGGUGAGAGUCACUGCUCCCUGCUGCAAAUUUCUUAUUAAAUCUGUUUGACAGAUUUUAGAAUUUCUAUAAGUAAUGUUUAAAAUUACAACCAUUUGGGCUGGGUGUGGUGGCUCAUGCCUGUAAUCCCAGCACUUAUUUUAUUUCUUAUCAGGAGAACGAGAAUCAUCAUACUACUUUGCAUCGGAGGUUAAGCUCAUUCUUUUCCUUAAAAUGGGAAGAUAAAGGCAUUACCCCCUCUCCGAGGCCUCAUAUGAUACUCCCCAUUCUGACCCAGAACACCCAGAACUUUGGAAAUUGGCUAUUGCCAUGUCUGGACUGCAAGUAUGGGAAGCAGAAACUAUUCUGUCUGUUGUCCCCACUACCAUCUCCCUCUCUCAGUAUCAACGUAGAUCCAGACAUUCUGCUUUACCUACCUCCAACCUGUUUCCAUACAGAGUUCUGUUAAGCCUCCUUGCAUGCUGUUAGUGAGAUAUAUCAAAAUUUGGAUGAACAAUCAAACUGUCCAAUGCAUUAAUUGUCAUUUAUACACUUGUAUUAACUCCCAUUUUGAUUCCAGGAAAAGUGUAAUGUUGGUUCGAGCUCAAGAAGGAAUCUGGAUUCCGGUAACUUUGCCCAGACCUUGGGAAUCCUCCCCUUCAAUACAUUUAAUUAAUGAAGUGUUACAGUGAAUUCUAAAAAGAUCUAAGAGAUUUAUUUUCACUUUAAUUGCUGUUAUCAUGGGCCUAAUUACAGUCACUGCAGUGGCCACCACUGCCGGAAUGGCAUUACACCAGUCCAUUCAAGCGGCUCAUUUUGUUAAUGGUUGGCAAGCCAAUUCCAUCCAAAUGUGGAAUUCUCAACAAGGCAUCGAUCGAAAAUUGGCAAAUCAAAUUAGUGAUUUAAGACAGUCUGUUAUUUGGCUUGGAGAUCAGGUAGUGAGUCUCGAGCAUCACAUGCAAAUGCAGUACGAUUGGAACACUUGAGAUUUCUGCAUCACCCCGUAUUCCUAUAACGAGACUGAUCAUUCAUGGGAAAUGGUCAAAAGACAUCUUCUGGGUAGGGAAGAUAAUUUAUCACUGGACAUAACUAAAUUAAAGAGACAAAUUUUUGAAGCCUCUCAAGCUCACUUAUCCAUUGUGCCUGGAGCUGAGGCGUUAGAUCAGGUGGCAGAAAAUCUUUCUGGAUUAAACCCCAGGACUUGGAUUAAGUCUAUUGGGGGCUCCACUGUAGUAAAUUUUGGAAUUAUGUUUCUCUGUUUAAUCGGCUUGUUUUUAGUUUGCCAGACUAGUCAAAGAAUCCUGCGUCAAAAUCAAGAGAACGAACAAGCCUUCAUUGCCAUGGCACAUUUAUUAUAAAAAGAAAGGGAGAGAUGUUGCGGGAAGUCAGGGACCCCGGAGGGACCAGCUGAAGCCAUGGCAGAAGAACAUAAAUUGUGAAGAUUUCAUGGACAUUUAUUAGUUCCCCAAUCAAUACCCUUGUGAUUUCCUAUGCCUGUCUUUACUUUAAUCUCUUAAUCCCGUCAUCUUCGUAAACUGAGGAGGAUGUAUGUCGCCUCAGGACCCUGUGAUGAUUGUGUUAACUGCACAAAUUGUAGAGCAUUUGUGUUUGAACAAUAUGAAAUCUGGGCACCUUGAAAAAAGAACAGGAUAACAGUGAUGUUCACGGAACAAGAGAGAUAACCUUAAACUCUGACUGCCGGUGAGCUGGACGGAACAGAGCCAUAUUUCUCUUCUUUCAAAAGCAAAUGGGAGAAAUAUCACUGAAUUCUUUUUCUCAGCAAGGAACAUCCCUGAGAAAGAGAAUGCAUCCCUGAGGGUAGGCCUCUGAAAUGGCUGCUUCAGGGCAGCUGUCUUUUAUGGUCGCAGCUGUGGGGAUGAAAUAAGCCCCAGUUUCUCAGAGUGCUCCCAGGCUUAUUAGGACGAGGAAAUUCCUGCCUAAUAAAUUUUGGUCAGACCAGUUGUCUGCUCUCAAACCCUGUCUCCUGAUAAGAUGUUAUCAAUGACAAUGCAUGCCCGAAACUUCAUUAGCAAUUUUAAUUUCACCCCAGUCCUGUGGUCCUGUGAUCUCGCCCUGCCUCCAUUUACCUUGUGAUAUCUUAUUACCUUGUGAAGCAUGGGAUCUCUGUGACCCAUACCCUAUUUGUACACUCCCUCCCCUUUUGAAAAUCACUAAUAAAAAAUUUGCUGGUUUUAUGGCUCAGGGGGCAUCACAGAACCUGCCAACAUGUGAUGUCUGCCCUGGACACCCAGCUUUAAAAUUUCUCUCUUU